AGAACAUUACUGGAUAGGCCUUACAGAUUUGAAGGAAGGAGAGUAUCGAUGGAUCCUUGAUCAAACCAAAGCUACUUUUUUACCUUGGCACAGUGGGUAUGGCUCAUCAGGAACAAAAUACAACUGCGUAAUGUUCCACAGACAAAAAGCACAAUGGGCUGACUAUCCAUGUGAACAUAAGUGGCGUUAUAUUUGUGAGAGAGAUCAUUGUAAGUUAUAUAAUAUUUUACAUGUAACUAAGCUUGAAAUUAUUUUGUCUUAAAAUAUAUGAAUGUGCUUUUUAUCUACAUUGAAUUUCUGUCCAGUAUCAUAUUUUGGAACACGAUAUCAUUGCCAAUAAGAUUAUUAUCCACCAGAGACUAAAUGAUAUAUAAGUAAGCAACUAUAGAUCAGCGUACGGCCAUCAGCAAGAAGCAAAAUCAAAACUGUAUAGUAAGCUACAAAAGGCAUGAUAUGUUUUCGUAGUGUUAAAUUUGACACCAUUAUAGAUUUAUAUAUCAUGCCCUAUACCUUUUUAUGACAUUUUGUACUGCAUCACGAUUAAUAUGGCAAUAUUAUGUAUUUGCAUAGCGGGGAAAACUUGUCCACGCACCCGAUCAUGCUCUGGUUGACAAUUCAAACAAGAUAUUUAUCUUUUUCCUAGAUUUUUCGAGAUUUGAUCAUAAGUAUACCUUUGUGGCCUUUAUUAGUUAUCAGUUUUUUUUCAGUUACUAGAUAAAUAUUUCAAAUAAAUAAAUUUAGAAAAUGGGAAAGGUAACUAAAUUAAGAAAUGGUAUAUUGAAAGAUUACACUUACGACGUUUCAAAAAUUUAAAUUAUAAAAUUUGUCUAUUACCCUUUUCCCAAUAAAUAAAAUGUUUUUUUCCAAUCUAUACCAAUGGUAAAUCAAUAACAUUUCUUAAUCCAACUGUUUUGGGUUAACCUACAUACGACCAAUGGAAUAACUAUGAUAACACAGAUGAUGUUACAAAGGCUAUUAAAUAAAUGCAUUUUAAAACAUUAAAAAUAGUUACCUGGGACUUUAUCACAUUACAUUGUAUAAUGAUAAAAAAAAGAUUACUCAGAGAGCGGUUGCGCUACUCUUUCAGGAAAAUUAAUAAAACAGACUUUAAGGUGCAUAAGGAACAUUUUUUUUGCAAUUAAUAAAAAAAAAAAAACUCGAAGUGUAAAAAUAACUCGAAGUGUAAUAAUAGUCAUUGUCUUGCAGAACUGAAACCCAUAUGGAACCCGAUAAGUAAAUUUUGAAUUAUAUAGCAUAUCUUGCUCAGCAUUUAGUUUUCUAUGUUGUGUUUUGUAUACUGUUGGUUGUCUGUUUGUCUUUCGUUUUGCCAUUGUGUUGUCAGUUUAUUUUUGACAUAUGAUUUUGAAUAUCACUUUGAUAUCGUUUGCCUAUGUUAUGCAGUAACAGUCAAAACAUUAUUCAUUUGAUUAUUUUAUUAAAACAAAUGGAAAAAAUUUCGAUGAUGAAAUAGAAAAGUAUCGACAGUGAUAAUUACAAUCAGAAUAGCGAGGUUAAUGCAUCGUAGAUAAACGGAAUAUAUACUGCAGCUGUGCUAUAUGAGCAGUCAAAAUGCAUUGGCCGUAUAUUCAUAUGCGAUAUACAGUCACUGACCGUAUAUCGCCUUCUUUAUGACGUUGACAAUGCGUUUCCGAAGAUUUUUAUUAAUGAUGUCAAUUAAACAUACAGGUUCGCGGAAGUUCUACGUGGUCCUCUCUAAAUUAAAAAAAAAGGUUUUUGUCCUCAAUAUAUCAUUUAGAACAGUUAAAAGAGUUGCAGUAUAUAAAGAAUAACCAUACAUGUCUGUGUCAUUUUGGUCUUUUGUGGAUAGUUGUCUCAUUGGCAAUCAUACCACAUCUUCUUUUUUAUAUAUACAUGGUAUCGAAAUAUAAAUUUCAUCUGUACUCGGCUCAGCCUCGCUUUCUACCCGUUUCUAAGCCUUGUACAAAUAACAUUUAUAUUUAAGAAAUAAUUCAUGGGGGCUUAAAUACAUCGUGAUUUUACCACAGGUUGGCCCUCUAUGACAAAUAUUUUACCCUUAGCGAUAGCCCCCAUGAAUUAUUUCGAUUCUAAUAUGACAACUACGGCAAUUAUUUUGGAUCGAAGUGCUGUAGCUGGAGGCAAAUAUUUGCCGUUUCCAUAAAUAAACGCACUUUUUAAAAAUUGACGUAAAAGAACAGAGCAAACUAAAUUAGUGACAUGGCUUAAACUAUUUAAAAAUAACGUAUUUUAGCAUCAUUUGUUUACGUUUCCUUGUUGUGAUGAUUUUCGGUUUCACAAAUGUGUAUUUUCCAGUAAAAUGCUUAUAUUCUUACGUCAUCGUUCUAUGACGUGGGGUACCACAUUCAUUAAAAAGCAUAUGACGUGGGAGUACGAUCUGAACAGCCCAGGCAAAGUUUUCAUAUUUUACCACGAUAGUGUACUCAAAGCGUUUGAAGGAAGUUAUGUUAGAAUUCAAGACAUUGUAUGGUUAUUCUAUUAUAUAACGACUGAAUUAUUAGUGUUACUUACUACAUAUACUCAAUGUGUAAAGUUUCAUACGAAAACAUAUAAAAAGUAAUGCCAUACCAUAUUUAUGUUUUGUCCCUUCAUUUUUUUUUAUUUAAUACUUUCCUUUAUUUUCAGGUUACUAAUUCUAUGAGAUCGAACAGAUCCAAUAUCUGUAUUUCAAAUAACACUCAUUUGUAAUAAAUGUUUUCUGAUCA
rnacentral:lncRNA from 1 species